UGCGUAGACGGUUUUGUAAGUCGGAUGUGAAAUCCCCGGGCUCAACCUGGGAAUUGCAUUCGAGACUGCAAGGCUAGGGUGCGGAAGAGGGAAGCGGAAUUUCCGGUGUAGCGGUGAAAUGCGUAGAUAUCGGAAGGAACAUCAGUGGCGAAAGCGGCUUCCUGGUCCAGCACCGACGUUCAGGCACGAAAGCGUGGGGAGCAAACAGGAUUAGAUACCCUGGUAGUCCACGCCAUAAACGAUGAGAACUAGACGUUGAGAGGGUAAGCCUCCCAGUGUCGCAGCUAACGCGCUAAGUUCUCCGCCUGGGGAGUACGGCCGCAAGGUUGAA
rnacentral:rRNA from 1 species